CUCUGAGUGCUGAACCUUUCCAGCCACCCUCCCACGAAGCUGUAUCUAGACACACAACCCUGCCCCCGGCCCCCAGAGGGCUGGCUCAGGCAUGAACACUUAAAUCAGGCUGUACCGAUUGGUGCUUGGUGACAGACGCUGGAGAGAGGAAACUCAGAGGCUCUGCAAAGACCAUCUUCCCUCCAACCGCAGGUGACACAGAAGACGGGUCUGUGGAAAGAAGCAGAGGCAGGAACAGAGGCAGCCUGUGACAGAGACAGACAGGAAAUCGUUUCCUGCAUUCUUGGCAUCUUCCAGGCUUGGUUCCUACCUCUCCAGAGGCCCAAUUGUUUGAUUUCACCUUUGAUUCCAAGGAAGCACCCAAUUUCCUGCUAAUAAAUUUCAUGGACUUGUUUGAAGUUGACUUCUGUCACUUUUGACAGAAAGUGUCCUGACAGUCCCAGCUGAGGAGGAUGUUUUCAUCAUAGCUGCCUUUGCAAAUAAAAAGCAGGGAUAGCAGGACACUUGACUCUCUCUUGUGUCAGUCGGUCGAGACUAACGAGAUCCAAGAUCCCGGAGAGGCCCACCCAACACCACGGCUGCAUCCUCUGGUUCCAUGGCGGUUGCCUGAAGGCAGGUGCACGGAACACGGGGUUCGAACUUUUGUUCUGCCGCCUGCUUCCUGGCUUCAGUGUCUUCGGACCUCCUCGGGUCCCCUUUUUCUUUACUUACCGGAUGGGGAUAAACAAUAGCAGCUACCCAGGAUCUUGGGAAAAUAAAUUAAGUUAAAUUAAAAAUACAUGAAAUAAGUCCCGUAUAUGUGUGUACACACACACACACACACACACACACACACACACACGCGCGGGCGCAAGCAGUGAGCUCUGCACCCCCCCCACCCCCCCCACCCCCCCGCAGAGCCAGGA
rnacentral:lncRNA from 1 species